UAAUACGUAGGUGGCAAGCGUUGUCCGGCUUUAUUGGGUUUAAAGGGUGCGUAGGCGGCCUUAUAAGUCAGUGCUGAAAUACUCUAGCUUAACUAGAGGGGUGGCAUUGAUACUGCAAGGCUUGAGUACAGUCGAGGUAGGCGGAAUUGACGGUGUAGCGGUGAAAUGCUUAGAUAUCGUCAAGAACACCGAUAGUGUAGACAGCUUACUAGGCUGUAACUGACGCUGAGGCACGAAAGUGUUGGGAUCAAACAGGAUUAGAUACCCUGGUAGUCCACACUGUAAACGUUGAUUACUCGAUGUUGGCGAUACACAGUCAGCGUCUUAGCGCAAGCGAUAAGUAAUCCACCUGGGGAGUACGCCGGCAACGGUG
rnacentral:rRNA from 1 species